CAAUAGCAUAUAUUAACGUUGUUGCAGUUGAAAAGCUCGUAGUUGAACUUUUGGUAGGAGCGACCUGGCCUUGGGCGCAUGCCCUUGUUUGCCGUGUGUCGUGUCUGGCCAUCCUUUUCCGCUUCGGCGGGAAUCUUUUACUGUGAGUAAACUGGAGUGCUCAAAACAAGACGUUUGUUUGGUACAUUAAAGCAUGGAAUAAUAAGAUAGGACCUGGUUACUAUUUUGUUGGUUUGCAUAGCUAGGUAAUGAUUAACAGGGACAGUUGGGGGUAUUCGUAUUUAAUUGUCAGAGGUGAAAUUCUUGGAUUUAUGAAAGACGAACGACUGCGAAAGCAUUUACCAAGGAUGUUUNCAUUA
rnacentral:rRNA from 1 species